UUUCCGUAGGUGAACCUGCGGAAGGAUCAUUAACACUUUUUAAUGAAUCCAAACCAUUGGAUCUCAACCAACCCGUACGAACCUAUUUCUAUCCGGUUGUGGCGUUUUGUGAUGCUUCUCUGUGUGAACAGAGCACGCCUACAAAAAACACAACCCGUACCCUGUCUAAUAUUUUCUCUAACGAUUUUGAACUUACUUGACUAAAACGUUUUGGGUAACGGAGGGAGGGGGAAACCCCCCCACUCGUUCCUCAAUCAAAUAUAAACGCGAAACAACUCUUAACAACGGAUAUCUUGGCUCUC
rnacentral:misc_RNA from 1 species